CGAGGUUCACUUUAUUGGUAAUUACUCAUAUAUUAAUGUAAAUUUAGUUAUUAAAAUGUGUACGUUAUGGAAAUUUAGUGCAUGUUGGCAGAAUAAAUAAAUAAGCUAUAGGAUGUCAUAUCAUUAGUUGGCCUGUUUUUUAUUUUCUUUGGUCAGAUCAUUAGUUGGCUUAUCCAGGCGAAACCUCAGGUGCAUAUAUCUUUCACAUUUCUUUUCCCACCUUCUUUAUCAAAGUUUUGUUUGUUCAGUUCAGAGCAAUUUAUUAUUUUGUUUUUCUGAAUUAUAUCUUUCUUUAGUCGGUGAUGAUUGUUUGUUUUUUUAUUUUGGUCAACGAUGAUGGUUGGUUGUUAUAUACUAAUUAUAUUAAGGAUGUAUACAUGGUAGUGGUGCGCAAGAAAAAAUAUUAUGUUUAUCUUCCAUUUUCUCUGUGUAGUAGAGCCAAAAAUCGUUCAAAUCGUUCAAACUGGCUAAAUUAAAUUAAUUUGAGCGGUUUGGUUCGAAAUUAAUUUUGUACAUGGUUGGUAUUUUAGUAUUAUUUAGGAUUCACUAUGUAAGGGGCAAACCACCAGAUGUCACUUUUGUUUGGGAACUGAUGUAUGGUUUUAUUGUGGUUGAUAUUUGCGUUCAAUGUUUAAGGGUUUGAUUUGGUUUGGUUUAUCCCUUCGCUAGCUAAUGUUUUUGUCUCAUUAUUAUUAUUUUUCUUGUAAGAUUUUAAAGAGGCAGUUUUUGCGCAUCCAACACCAUUAUUCUUACACAUAUACAUUUACCAUAUUGAAGAGCAUCUUCAGCAGAGUUGCUAUACUUUGUUCUUUAGUCAUUUUGGCUAGAAUGAGGGCAAAACGCAACUUCAGCAGACUUGCUAUCUGGCUCUCUAUUUUGGGAAACUCCCUACUUAAGUUUAGUAACUCUCUACAUUUAGAGAGGAGGAAAGAGAAAUUGAGGGUUCUCCAUUUCUUUCUCUUCUCUCUCCCAAGGCUCACAACCCUCUCUCAUCUCUUACUUUUUGUUUUUUUUAAUGAACUUUUAAUUUAGAGAGGAGAGAGAAAUAAUAAAAUAUUAGAAAUUAGUCAAAAUAGAGAAUAUUGCUGAAGAAAAAUUUGCUAUAAUAACUUUCUA
rnacentral:lncRNA from 1 species